UCAAAUAACAAACUCACUCUGGCAGUUAUUACAUUAUCUAAAAAGAAAUAUCCUCUUCCAACUAAUUAAAUGAAUUACAUUCAAGUAGUCAAAUUUUUCUCCUUGAUUCACAAUUCAAACAAUAACUUUAAAAGGACUUAUUUAUAAUUAUCACCUCCAUCACUGAAACAUCCUACAAAAUUUUCCAGGAGAAAAAUUUUCAGCAUUGCUCUGGGAUACAGAUCUGGAAAAUCUUCAGAAUGAGGGUAACUGUCUCAGAUUGUGAGGGGAUAGGCCUGACUAGAGCCGUCCAAAUUGUGAUGAGUCAGGCUGGCCAGGUGGGAAGGCCCAUUUAUGAAAGACCUUAAAAGUCAGUAAAAUUAAACUGGAUCUAAUAAAAAUUGAUAGGGACCAUUGAUCUUUUUUUUGAGUGUAGGAGUGAUGCAGUGAAUAGAAAGUGGAAAUGUUGAAUUGUAGUGGGGAGGUCUGGGUACCCCUGGCCAGUGUCCUCAUGUUGGAUAUGCUCUGAGGAAUGUGGGAAUUCCAGAAGUCUUAGAAUAUAGUGAUGGGGAGAGGGGAGGGAAAACUCACUGGCCUCUGCCAGUGAGUAUGUUUCAAAUUACAGUACAAGCAGUAACAGGAUCAGGCCCAGGAACUUCAUCCAGUGGGGGCUGUGGAGCUGUAGAGUUUCCUGAAGGUAGGCUAGCAAUUGCCCUGUAUUUCCAGGUGAUCUUUCUUCAUUAGCUAGUGAGUGCAGGCGGGCUAAUGAGACAAAACAAGUCACCUGGACCCCUUCAACUCUUCUGAGAUUGGGAGGGAAACUUCAGUGCAGAAGCAUGUAUUUUCCAGGAUUUGAGGGAACUGUACUAGAUAUGGACCUUAAGGCCAACAAUUGAUCUAUGCUUUAGUGCCCCAAUCUGAGUGUGUGUGAGACACUCUGGGAAUGGAUUCUUUUCUCAGGAAAGGCUGGGAUUUCUGUAUACUAGAGCCUUCCUUACCCUAAGUGGGAACCAGGUUGACUUCCAACUCUUAGGUGUCUACGUUCUCAGUCAGUUGCCCCCCCGCCCCCCCGGAGGGGGGGCCUGCAGCUGUUGGGUAUUGGGUGUUGAGUGUCACAGAACUUAGUUUUUUUUGCAAGAGUCAAUGUAGCAUGAAAGUUUUUCCCCUGGGGUAGAUUUUGUAAUGGGGUGGGGAAGUAGACUGAGAAUUUCUUGCAAAUGCUUACUUCAGUAAACGGAGAACACUGUUACCAUACAUUUGUGGGAGGAUUUGAGCAUUAGACACUAAAUAAAAUGGGAAGUCAUUUGAUUAUGCUUAAAGUUGUCUUGAUUUAGUGUGCACUGAGGUUUUGAUAGGUGGCGUUGUCCAAGGUCACCAGAUUGUUUCUACCUAUGAAUUUCAUUCUCAAACAGAAAACCAUCAGCAAGCAGGGAUACUGGAGAUCUCUCUCAUGCUCUCUCUCUCCCUCCUUCUAUCUCCAUCUCUCUCUCGCCAUUCUGUUUAGACAAUAUUUGUGGAUGAAGAUACUUCAAUUGUCAUAUAAAUUAUUCCUCUUUGAAGCUCUAGUCUUUAGAAGCCUAUUAAAAAAACAGCAUGUGAUUCUUUAAAUGAUACUUGAAGUUAGUUUUAGUUAAAAAAAAAGUUUCAAUGAAACAGGGGUGUGUCUGAAUACAGUGCUGGUUCAAUGGUUUUCCACUGGCCAAGUUAUUACUUACUGACCCUUUUGAGCCCAAUGCCAACAGAAGUCCUGACUGGUGUCGCUGCUCCCGCCAAGAGAACAAGCCCAUGUUCACUUCUGAGGCAAGGCAAAGCCUUCUUCUUUGAUCAGAGAAUGGAGAGGGGGAAGCUUGGCUCUAGGGCACACACUUAACCCAAAGCCCAAAGGCUGAGCUGCCAUAUUGCGACCUCCUCAGCCGCAGGGUGUAAGGGUCAUGUAGGGGCCGAGUUCUUAUUGCGCAGGUGCAGGCAUAGGCGCAGGCGCAGCUGGGCUGCUCCUGGCUCUAGUUGAAGUGCCUGGCGGGUGAAGCGUCGCUACACGGGGCUGCCGCCAUGUUGUAUUGAGGUGUGGAGCCAGAGCUUCGGCCUGCGAUCCUGGGAGCUGAGGUCUAUGCAGCGGGUUCACUGGAGAAACUCUGGUCUGAAAUGCCAGGUGGAAGCCCUCUGCCCGAGGUACCUUGCGAAUGAGUGGAACUAGAGGAAGCACAAAGGAAAAAGAAAAGGAAAUCUCCAUCUGAGGGGGAAAGAAUGGACUUGUCCUGCUCUGCUACAAAAUUGUCUCAUGGAAAAUAGAGCUACUGACUGCAUAUCUCUGUUGUGGUCACCAUACAGUUGACUGAAUCUGCUGAGUAUCCAGUACCCCCCUAUACAUUCUAGAGGAAAAGGAAAACCUAGGCUCUUAGGAAGCUGAUGAUCAUCUGAGAGGCAAGUCGUAUACUUACCUUAUCAGUUAGAUCAAUUAAUGUAAAUUAGUGUGGAAUAGACUGAGCUACAGUUGGCUGACUUGCUGUGGGUCAUCAGACAGCAUCUGAUUAUUUCCUAAUAUGUGCUCAACAAUGAGUCAGGUGAGAUGGGAGCUAUGAAAGGAGAGUACAACCCAUCUCUGUCCCAAAGAAAUCUUAUGUCAGCUCAGUACAUAAGAUUUACUUAGAUAAAAUAACAAGUAGCAAGAAACAGUGUUCAAAUGAAUGGUAUUGCUCUCCUAUGCCUGAGAAUAUAAAAUUUCAGAAAAUUAAGAGAACCGCAUAAGCCAGUUUAGUUGUAGGAGGCUUUGUGAAAAGUAGGUCUUAGGAUACUCAUUAAUUCAUUUAUUAUUCAUGCAUUUUCCAUCCACACAACAAAUAUUACAAGCUGUAUACGAUGUUCCAAGUUCAGAUAAAGUAAUGAAGGAGCCAGGCAUGGAUUCCCAUCCUUAUGAAGCUUAAAGUCUAAUGUGAGACAGAUGUUGGUCAUAUAAUUGCACAGAUAUUAAGUUAUAAACUGUGGUAAGUGCCUUGAAAGAAUAUAGGAGGAGUAGUUUGGAGGAACAGGCAGUCAGAGUGAUAGUUGCUCACAUAUCAAAAGGAUGAGUAAGAGGAUCAGCCAAUGGAAGUAGGGAGUAGUCUAGGUAGAGGGCACAUAUGUGCAGAGACUCAAGGGGGAGAAGGCACUGCCCAUCUAUAGAAAGGCAGUAAGGCAGUGUAACUGGUAUACAGUAGGAGGGAAAAUAGCAUCCAGUGUGUUGAAAAGAUAAUUCUUGUUUCUGACAUUUCUAGGGUCCUGGAUAUUUUUAAAUAUUUGUUGAGAGCUAUGCAUCCUCUCUCCAGAAAUAUGUUCAUACAUUCUCAGUUCUGUAAGUUCACAGAUUUCUGGAAGCCUGCUCACGAACUUGAGAGUAAGAACUGUCUUAGGGAUAGAUGUGAUUAGAAUUGGCUCUCCAGAGGAAAAAAGAUUUUAUCACAAGGGAGAGGUUAGAAAUGAGCAGUGUUGGCAGAACUGUGGGAGGCAGUGGGUUCUCACUAUGCAGGGUUUUUAUCAGUCUUACUCCAGUUCCAUUGCAUGCUCUCAAUUCACAGAAGCCAAGGUGAGUAUGAGGGGAAGGGAUAUUUUUAUGCUUGUGUGCAUCCUGAAUUUGCUUGCAGUGUUAAUAGUGGCACUUGGCCUUGAGAUAAUGACUUAUCUCCUCCUCCUGGCUGGGCUCUC